GAGGGUAUAGCUCAGAGAUACGUGAGCUUAGCAUGCUUGAGGUCCUGGGUUCAAUCCCCAGUAUCUUCA
rnacentral:tRNA from 1 species